GCCCCUGUACAGCGCGCGGCGGCCCCUGACAACGGUGGGCAUGGCGGCUGCGGGGCUGGCUCUGGCGCUGCGAGGGGCGCUCCCCUCCGGGGCGGCGGCAGUGACGGUGCGCUGCCGCGGCGGGCUCUGGAGCCGCCUGCCCCCGCCCGCGCCCCGCCGGUCCGCGGCGCACUUCUCUUUCCAGCCGGACCCGGCGCCCACCGAGUACGGUGAGACGCAGAAGAUGAAUCUCUUUCAAUCCAUAACAAGUGCCUUGGACAAUGCUCUAGCCAAAGAUCCGACUGCAGUAAUAUUUGGUGAAGAUGUGGCCUUUGGUGGAGUCUUCAGGUGUACAGUUGGCUUGCGAGACAAAUAUGGUAAAGAUAGAGUUUUCAACACCCCCUUGUGUGAACAAGGAAUUGUUGGCUUCGGUAUUGGAAUUGCUGUUACGGGUGCUACAGCCAUUGCAGAAAUUCAGUUUGCAGAUUACAUUUUUCCAGCAUUUGAUCAGAUUGUUAAUGAAGCAGCAAAAUAUCGUUACCGCUCCGGAGAUCUGUUUAAUUGUGGGAACCUCACCAUCAGAGCUCCCUGGGGCUGCGUGGGUCAUGGUGCACUAUAUCACUCUCAGAGUCCAGAAGCUUUUUUUGCUCAUUGUCCUGGAAUAAAGAUUGUUAUUCCAAGGAGUCCUCUUCAGGCCAAAGGACUGCUCCUGUCAUGCAUAGAGGACAAAAAUCCAUGCAUAUUCUUUGAACCUAAAAUACUUUACAGAGCUGCAGUGGAACAAGUUCCUGUGGAUCCCUACUACAUUCCCCUGUCUCAAGCUGAGGUACUGCAGACAGGCAGUGAUGUGACACUGGUUGCUUGGGGCACUCAGGUACAUGUGAUCAAAGAAGUGGCAGCAAUGGCUCAAGAAAAGCUUGGUGUGUCCUGUGAAGUUAUUGAUCUGAGGACCAUAUUACCCUGGGAUACAGAGACCAUUUGCAAGUCAGUGGUGAAGACCGGGCGGUUGCUGAUAAGCCACGAGGCUCCCUUGACAGGAGGAUUUGCUUCUGAAAUCAGUUCCACAGUUCAGGAGGAAUGCUUUUUGAAUUUAGAAGCUCCUAUUUCGAGAGUAUGUGGCUAUGACACUCCUUUCCCUCACAUCUUUGAGCCUUUCUACAUCCCAGACAAAUGGAAAUGCUAUGAUGCUAUUCUAAAAAUGAUUAACUACUGAACAGCAGUACAGUGAAGCUUUCCUAAAGAGAAUGGCUUGUAUCUGCUCUUUGAGAGAUGAGAACAACAGGGAAAUAACGGAAGUUGCCUUCAGAACUCUUGACGCUUUGCUCAGAUUUUUUGGGUUUGGAAUUCACAUAGCAGACUGUUUUCUCUGAACUCAGCUAUCCUUAAUAUUCAUCUUGACUAUUCUUCCGAAUAUUCAAAUCUUCCUUAAUUAUGAAAUCAGUGUUGGGCAGGUGAUUGCUGUAAGAAAUAGUUUCAGAUGUAUUUAAAGAUAUUCCAGAUGUUGUAUGAAUGUUUCACAUUGCCAUGUUUCACUAGGUUACAUCUCUAGAAUUCACUGUGUAAAUAUUGUAAGCAGGAUUUUAUUGAAUAAAACAUAUCAUGCACA